rnacentral:lncRNA from 1 species
UUGCAAUUUAAGGUUCUGUUUUAGGCUUAUUUGAGUAUUGCUUGCUGUUUUAAUUUUGUGCCUAUCAUAUGUUUGAGUAUUUUCCUUUUUGAAUCCAUACAAGUUUUGUCUUAGUCUUGUUUUUCCAUAAUUGUCAUCACUUCUAGGAGUACUUUGAUUGCUUUUGUUGUUUCUUGCUUUAGUGUCAUAUAAUUUUCUGAAUUUGAUAUUGAUCCUUUGUGCAUUUUCUGUUUUGGAUUGAGUUCAUACUUGUAUUCUAGACCUAUACAAGUUCCUAUACAUCAUUUUCCAUUAUGUCUUUGCUAGUUCAUAAUUCUGUUUUUCAUUCCUCUUAGGAUUCCUCUGUUUUUCUGAAAAGUGCUUACUGUUUUCCUUAUUGCAAUUGAUUUACUCACUGGAAAAUUCUGAAAUUCUGGAUUUGUG